UGCUUAUGAUGACAUAUCCAAAGGCUUGUUUCUCAAAACAUUCGCAGUGGCCGCCUAAGAGCUUUCGCCUAUGCGGGGCUAGAGAGCUGAUGCUGCAUUUAUCCUUCCUUGGAUGUCUGAGGCC